AUUUGCAGAGGAUGCUUCGGGAGCAGCCCCCAUCUAAGUGGCCUGGAACGGUCCGUCAUAGAGGGUGAAAAUCCCGUCUGGGAUGGGGUGUCUGCGCCCGUGUGAAGCUCCUUCGACGAGUCGAGUUGUUUGGGAAUGCAGCUCUAAAUGGGUGGUAAAUUUCAUCUAAAGCUAAAUACUGGCCGGAGACCGAUAGCGCACAAGUAGAGUGAUCGAAAGAUGAAAAGCACUUUGAAAAGAGAGUUAAAAAGCACGUGAAAUUGUUGAAAGGGAAGCGCUUGCGACCAGACUCGCCCACGGGGUUCAGCCGGCAUUCGUGCCGGUGUACUUCCCCGCGGGCGGGCCAGCGUCGGUUUGGGCGGCCGGUCAAAGGCCCUCGGAAUGUAAC
rnacentral:rRNA from 1 species